rnacentral:rRNA from 1 species
AUUGAACGCUAGCGGGAUGCCUUACACAUGCAAGUCGAACGGAGUGGCGAACGGGUGAGUAAUGUAUCGGAACGUGCCCAGUAGCGGGGGAUAACUACGCGAAAGCGUAGCUAAUACCGCAUACUAUCGGAGCGGCCUAGAUCGGUUUUGCUAGUUGGUGGGGUAAAGGCUCACCCAGGCGACGAUCCGUAGCUGGUUUGAGAGGACGACCAGCCACACUGGGACUGAGACACGGCCCAGACUCCUACGGGAGGCAGCAGUGGGGAAUUUUGGACAAUGGGCGAAAGCCUGAUCCAGCCAUGCCGCGUGUGCGAUGAAGGCCUUCGGGUUGUAAAGCACUUUUGGCAGGAAAGCGGUACCUGCAGAAUAAGCACCGGCUAACUACGUGCCAGCAGCCGCGGUAAUUC